GAGCUGAGGACUCGGCUCUCAGCACCCAGCCCAGAGGAUGAAAUUUCAGCUGGGAUACCCCAGGGAGAACAAGGAUCUGCCAAAAAUUCCUGCGGCUCCACCGCUGUCCCCAGCCACGGUCCCCAGCAGGUCCCCAUCACCUCGUGCUGCUUCGGCUCCAGCCACGGCCGAGGCGAGGACAAUUAAAGGUUUAUUAAAGGUUUCCUUGUUUCCUACAGGUGCCACCACAGGAAUAACCCAUCCUGCCAGCCUGCCCGAGAGGCUCCUGCUCCCCAAAAUCCAGGUAGAGCAAAGCAGUUUCUUGGGGACACCCAAGAAACCCCACGGCACGGCGGGGAUCGGCACCGGCACCGCGGAUGAAGAUGGCAGAAUGGGGCCAGACGGACAGGGUACUAAUUCCCGUCACGAAUCAUUACCACAAGCACUGGAUGAGGCACCUCCAAAGGAGCAAGGAGCCUCCAAAGGAGCAAGGAGCAGCGGCACGGCGAAGACAGGAACCCACAGCAGAUCCCAGCACCGUGCCCAUCACCUCCCACAGCCAGCAUGGAGCUGCUCAUGUUCCCAAACCAUCAGCAUGUCCCCAAGGCAUGGGCACAUCCCCAACCGAGCACCUUUCACACCUUUCCACGACCCCAAUGAAGACUUUCAUGGGGUAAAGCCACAUUCACAUUAGAGCAGGUCACCAAGGACCACGUCACUCCUGGGUAUAUCCAAGGAUGGAGACUCCACAAUGUCCCUGAGCAUAGCUUUGAUCAAAAUGACUCAACUUCAGGGAAAAAAUUGAGGGGAAAGAAUAAAAAAGCAGGAACAGUACAUACUGAUCCAUUAGAUGGCUGAAAGGUAACUCGGGUAUCAAUUACUGGUUGUGUACUUGGGGUGGGGAGAGUGGGGGCGCAAGGGGAGUGGUUUGUAUUUUUGAAUAAGAAGGGGAAAAAACGCGUUUUUAUUUUUUUAAGCUCUGCCCCUUUCAUUUCUCCCUGUGCUCAGUGGCUCUCCUUGUCAGUCCUCUGCAGCUCAGGUAAGAACAGAAGGCUCCAGAUUAAAGGGAAACAUGGCAGCAAACUGAAAACCAUCAAGGUAACAGAGGACAAAGUCAGGAAAGAUGAAGAAGAGAAGCCUGUGUUCUGCAAGAUUCCCACUUCGGGCUUCUCUCUGGGUUAACCCAGAAAUGGGGACCAAGGUGC
rnacentral:lncRNA from 1 species